UACGGGAUAAUAUAUUUGAGAGGCAUCUCUUAAAUAUCAAAGGUGAGCCAGUACAGGAUGGACCCGCGUCUGAUUAGCUAGUUGGUAAGGUAACGGCUUACCAAGGCGACGAUCAGUAGCCGACCUGAGAGGGUGAUCGGCCACAUUGGAACUGAGACACGGUCCAAACUCCUACGGGAGGCAGCAGUGGGGCAUAUUGCACAAUGGGCGAAAGCCUGAUGCAGCAACGCCGCGUGAGUGAUGAAGGCCUUCGGGUCGUAAAACUCUGUCCUCAAGGAAGAUAAUGACGGUACUUGAGGAGGAAGCCCCGGCUAACUACGUGCCAGCAGCCGCGGUAAUACGUAGGGGGCUAGCGUUAUCCGGAUUUACU
rnacentral:rRNA from 1 species